rnacentral:rRNA from 1 species
GCGGCGUGCCUAAUACAUGCAAGUAGAACGCUGAAGACUUCCAGUCUUGCUAAAGUUGGAAGAGUUGCGAACGGGUGAGUAACGCGUAGGUAACCUGCCUACUAGCGGGGGAUAACUAUUGGAAACGAUAGCUAAUACCGCAUAACAGCAUUUAACUCAUGUUAGAUGCUUGAAAGGAGCAAUUGCUUCACUAGUAGAUGGACCUGCGUUGUAUUAGCUAGUUGGUGAGGUAACGGCUCACCAAGGCGACGAUACAUAGCCGACCUGAGAGGGUGAUCGGCCACACUGGGACUGAGACACGGCCCAGACUCCUACGGGAGGCAGCAGUAGGGAAUCUUCGGCAAUGGUGGGCAACCCUGACCGAGCAACCGCCGCGUGAGUGAAGAAGGUUUUCGGAUCGUAAAGCUCCUGUUGUAAGAGAAGAACGUGUGUGAGAGUGGAA